GCUUAUAACAGCUUUCACAACUGUUGAUGCACGGGGCAGCCAUGUUGGAUUUUUAGCUCGGGGUACUCGGUGGUUGCCCGAGUCCCGAGCUCGGAAGUCCGAGGUCAGGGGCCGUGUUUCCGACUUUGACCUCCAGAAAAUCCGAGUUCCGACUACAAAUGGAACGCACUAUACGUACAAGAUAUCGGUGAUGAUUUGUGAUAAAAACAACAACCAAAACAGUGUUUACAUUACAGCGUGUGUCUCAGACAAUCAGUACUUUUACAUUUCUUCGCUGUCGGGCAGAAACCGUGUAUCUCUACAUUUCGUUUUUUCAUGAAUCAAUACCAUUGGUCACCCUUUACGUCUGGUAAACAUUGAAACAGUGACGAGGUGAUUUCAUCCGACUUUGUCGAAGGUAAACGGCUCAAUAAAAUGUUUUCAGUGUUUGUUUUUUCAUUGAGGCCAAGAUUAUUAUACAGACAGUAACGUAAUAGAAUCAGUGCUCAAUUUUUGUAAAGGGUGAAUUACGAUUACAAACACCAAUCUGUUUAUAGAACAUUUUGGUAAAAAAAAAAAAAAUACAGAAUUAAAACAAAGAACCCAAAUAAAAUGUUUUCUGAAAAUCAACGGUUUUGGACAUACAAGGUCUUCACCCGACAGCGACGAUUUAUGACGUUUGAAUUAAUGUUACAGGAAGAUUGUUGACUAUUUUCACCAUCAUUGAAUCCGCUGAUUAUUCUCUGGAUUAAUGGGUAAUAGUUUUGUGUUUAAAAUGUCGGAAAAAUGCCUGUUACAAUGUCCUGAAGCUCAAGUUGAUGUCUUAUAAAAAUGUCUUUUUUUUUUUUUUCUUUUUUGUCCGACCAAGAGUCCAAAACCCCAAAAAUAUUUCAAUUUACAAUCAUAGAAGAGAAAAGCCAGAAAAACUUUGGCAUUAGAGAAGCAGGAACCAGCGAUAUUUUGGCCGUUGAUUAAUAGAUAAAUCCUUUCAGCCGCUCAUCUGCUGACUUUUUGAAAACAUUUCUGAAAUCCUUGUAAGAUCGCUUUAUCUGGUUUUUAAGAAAGUAGAUUCAAACCAGUUUAACUCGCUGCGAUCAAAUAAAAAUGGGUCAACACUGUACUGUUACCCCAGUAGUUAACAUGUGUAACCAAUGUAGAUAUAUAAGAGGAGUUAUAGUUGACAAAUGCAUUAAUAGACACUUCAAAAUGUCUUCACAGCUGCUUACAACUACAUUCUAGUGGGUUAUAAAUGCUAAAUAAUACAAUUCAGGGUUUUCCCUGCCAUCAUAAAGUCUGAUUUCUGGUUGUGUGGAGGCUCCACGCAGAGCUUUCGCCGUAGCCUAUACGUAAGUGGCCUGAAGUUUAUACUUGUGCGUUGGUGUGUGCGUCUAGCCGGCGUGUGUGUGUGUGUGUGUGUGUGUGUGUGUGUGUGUGUGUUUGUUUGUUUGUUUGUUUGUUUGUUUGUGUGACGCUCCUGUUCAGCUGCCAUUUGAAAUCACAUGCGACGCUGAGAGGAUGAAAUGUUGAGUCCACCUUCCUGAUAAGCUAUACUCUGGAAAUCCUAAUCUUAUUUCAUGCAAUAACGAGCCGCUGUAAAACGUUUGAUGAGAACAGCAACCCAAAACCAACAAUUGUGUUAGUCCGUCUCUCCAAACUUUCUGACUUCUCAUCUCGGUUUGUUGCUUUCAGCUCCGAGCUCAUUGGUUCUUACUGAAGA